rnacentral:rRNA from 1 species
AGUGAACGCUGGCGGUAUGCCUAACACAUGCAAGUCGAACGGCAGCACAGUAAGAGCUUGCUCUUACGGGUGGCGAGUGGCGGACGGGUGAGGAAUACAUCGGAAUCUACUUUUUCGUGGGGGAUAACGUAGGGAAACUUACGCUAAUACCGCAUACGACCUACGGGUGAAAGCAGUGGAUCUUCGUACCUCGCGCGAUUGAAUGAGCCGAUGUCGGAUUAGCUAGUUGGCGGGGUAAAGGCCCACCAAGGCGAUGGUCCGUAGCUGGUCUGAGAAGGUGAUCAAGCACACUGGAGCUGAUGCACGGUCCCGACUCCACCGGGAGGCAGCAGUGAGGAAUAUUGGACGAAGGGCGCAAGCCUAAUCCAGCCAUACCGCGUGGGUGAAGCAGGCAUUCGGGUUGUAAAACGCUUUUGUUGGGAAAGAAAAGCGGUAGGUUAAUACCCCACUGUUCUGACGGUACCCAAAGAAUAAGCACCGGCUAACUUCGUG